AGAGUUUGAUCCUGGCUCAGAUUGAACGCUGGCGGCAUGCCUUACACAUGCAAGUCGAACGGCAGCGCGGACUUCGGUCUGGCGGCGAGUGGCGAACGGGUGAGUAACAUAUCGGAACGUGCCAGGAAGUGGGGGAUAACUAGUCGAAAGAUUAGCUAAUACCGCAUACGCCCUAAGGGGGAAAGUGGGGGAUCGCAAGACCUCACGCUUGCUGAGCGGCCGAUAUCUGAUUAGCUAGUUGGUAGGGUAAAAGCCUACCAAGGCGACGAUCAGUAGCUGGUCUGAGAGGACGACCAGCCACACUGGGACUGAGACACGGCCCAGACUCCUACGGGAGGCAGCAGUGGGGAAUUUUGGACAAUGGGGGCAACCCUGAUCCAGCAAUGCCGCGUGAGUGAAGAAGGCCUUCGGGUUGUAAAGCUCUUUUGUCCGGGAAGAAAUCCCAUCUGUUAAUACCGGGUGGGGAUGACGGUACUGGAAGAAUAAGCACCGGCUAACUACGUGCCAGCAGCCGCGGUAAUACGUAGGGUGCAAGCGUUAAUCGGAAUUACUGGGCGUAAAGCGUGCGCAGGCGGUUGUGCAAGACCGAUGUGAAAUCCCCGGGCUUAACCUGGGAACUGCAUUGGUGACUGCACGGCUAGAGUGUGUCAGAGGGGGGUAGAAUUCCACGUGUAGCAGUGAAAUGCGUAGAGAUGUGGAGGAAUACCGAUGGCGAAGGCAGCCCCCUGGGAUAACACUGACGCUCAUGCACGAAAGCGUGGGGGAGCAAACAGGAUUAGAUACCCUGGUAGUCCACGCCC
rnacentral:rRNA from 1 species